rnacentral:rRNA from 1 species
UUGUCCGGAUUUACUGGGUGUAAAGGGUGCGUAGGCGGCUUUGCAAGUCAGAUGUGAAAUCUAUGGGCUCAACCCAUAAACUGCAUUUGAAACUGUAGAGCUUGAGUGAAGUAGAGGCAGGCGGAAUUCCCCGUGUAGCGGUGAAAUGCGUAGAGAUGGGGAGGAACACCAGUGGCGAAGGCGGCCUGCUGGGCUUUAACUGACGCUGAGGCACGAAAGCGUGGGUAGCAAACAGGAUUAGAUACCCUGGUAGUCCACGCUGUAAACGAUGAUUACUAGGUGUGGGGGGUCUGACCCCUUCCGUGCCGGAGUUAACACAAUAAGUAAUCCACCUGGGGAGUACGGCCGCAAGGUUGAAACUCAAAGGAAUUGACGGGGGCCCGCAC